rfam:Chelonia mydas contig200149, whole genome shotgun sequence.
GGAGGGAUAGCUCAGUGGUUUGAGCAUUGGCCUGUUAAACCCAGGGUUGUGAGUUCAAUUACCUACUCUCUACU